rnacentral:rRNA from 1 species
UAGGGAAUCUUGGCAAUGGACGAAAGUCUGACCGAGCAACGCCGCGUGAGUGAAGAAGGUUUUCGGAUCGUAAAACUCUGUUGUUAGAGAAGAACAAGGACGUUAGUAACUGAACGUCCCCUGACGGUAUCUAACCAGAAAGCCACGGCUAACUACGUGCCAGCAGCCGCGGUAAUACGUAGGUGGCAAGCGUUGUCCGGAUUUAUUGGGCGUAAAGCGAGCGCAGGCGGUUUCUUAAGUCUGAUGUGAAAGCCCCCGGCUCAACCGGGGAGGGUCAUUGGAAACUGGGAGACUUGAGUGCAGAAGAGGAGAGUGGAAUUCCAUGUGUAGCGGUGAAAUGCGUAGAUAUAUGGAGGAACACCAGUGGCGAAGGCGGCUCUCUGGUCUGUAACUGACGCUGAGGCUCGAAAGCGUGGGGAGCAAACAGG